CCUACGGGAGGCAGCAGUGGGGAAUUUUGGACAAUGGGCGAAAGCCUGAUCCAGCAAUGCCGCGUGAGUGAAGAAGGCCUUCGGGUUGUAAAGCUCUUUUGUCAGGGAAGAAACGGUGAGGGCUAAUAUCCCUUGCUAAUGACGGUACCUGAAGAAUAAGCACCGGCUAACUACGUGCCAGCAGCCGCGGUAAUACGUAGGGUGCAAGCGUUAAUCGGAAUUACUGGGCGUAAAGCGUGCGCAGGCGGUUUUGUAAGCCUGUCGUGAAAUCCCCGGGCUCAACCUGGGAAUUGCGAUGGAGACUGCAAGGCUAGAAUCUGGCAGAGGGGGGUAGAAUUCCACGUGUAGCAGUGAAAUGCGUAGAGAUGUGGAGGAACACCGAUGGCGAAGGCAGCCCCCUGGGUCAAGAUUGACGCUCAUGCACGAAAGCGUGGGGAGCAAACAGGAUUAGAUACCCUGGUAGUCCACGCCCUAAACGAUGUCUACUAGUUGUCGGGUUUUAAUUAACUUGGUAACGCAGCUAACGCGUGAAGUAGACCGCCUGGGGAUACGGUCGCAAGNUUAAAACUUAAGGAAUUGACGG
rnacentral:rRNA from 1 species